AUUGAACGCUGGCGGCAUGCCUUACACAUGCAAGUCGAACGGUAACGGGCCUUCGGGUGCCGACGAGUGGCGAACGGUUGAGUAAUACAUCGGAACGUGCCCGAUCGUGGGGGAUAACGAGGCGAAAGCUUUGCUAAUACCGCAUACGAUCUACGGAUGAAAGCAGGGGACCGCAAGGCCUUGCGCGGGCGGAGCGGCCGAUGGCAGAUUAGGUAGUUGGUGGGAUAAAAGCUUACCAAGCCGACGAUCUGUAGCUGGUCUGAGAGGAUGAUCAGCCGCACUGGGACUGUGACACGGCACAGAGUCCUACGGGAGGCAGCAGUGGGGAAUUGUGGGCAAUGGGCGGAAGCCUGAUCCAGCCAUGCCGCGUGCAGGAUGAAGGCCUUCGGGUUGUAAACUGCUGCUGUACGGAACGAAAAGCCUUUUUUUAAUACAGGAGGGUCAUGACGGUACCGGAAGAAUAAGCAACGGCUAACUACGUG
rnacentral:rRNA from 1 species